rnacentral:rRNA from 1 species
UACGCAGUUUCUUCAUCGAGUGCUUGCACUCACCGAAGAAACUGACCCCUUAAAGGGUGAGUAACACGUGGGUAACCUGCCCAAAAGAGGCCUAUAACACUUGGAAACAGGUGCUAAUACCGCAUAACAACAAAAACCGCCUGGUUUUUGUUUAAAAGAUGGUUUCGGCUAUCACUUUUGGAUGGACCCGCGGCGUAUUAGCUAGUUGGUAAGGUAAUGGCUUACCAAGGCAGUGAUACGUAGCCGAACUGAGAGGUUGAUCGGCCACAUUGGGACUGAGACACGGCCCAAACUCCUACGGGAGGCAGCAGUAGGGAAUCUUCCACAAUGGACGCAAGUCUGAUGGAGCAACGCCGCGUGAGUGAAGAAGGUUUUCGGAUCGUAAAACUCUGUUGUUAGAGAAGAACGUGUGUGAGAGUAACUGUUCAUGCAGUGACGGUACCUAACCAGAAAGCCACGGCUAACUACGUGCCAGCAGCCGCGGUAAUACGUAGGUGGCAAGCGUUGUCCGGAUUUAUUGGGCGUAAAGGGAACGCAGGCGGUCUUUUAAGUCUGAUGUGAAAGCCUUCGGCUUAACCGAAGUCGUGCAUUGGAAACUGGGAGACUUGAGUGCAGAAGAGGAGAGUGGAACUCCAUGUGUAGCGGUGAAAUGCGUAGAUAUAUGGAAGAACACCAGUGGCGAAAGCGGCUCUCUGGUCUGUAACUGACG